AUUGAACGCUGGCGGCAUGCUUUACACAUGCAAGUCGAACGGUAACAGGCCGCCAGGUGCUGACGAGUGGCGAACGGGUGAGUAAUGCAUCGGAACGUGCCCAGUCGUGGGGGAUAACUACUCGAAAGAGUAGCUAAUACCGCAUACGAUCUAUGGAUGAAAGCGGGGGACCGUAAGGCCUCGCGCGAUUGGAGCGGCCGAUGUCAGAUUAGGUAGUUGGUGGGGUAAAGGCUCACCAAGCCAACGAUCUGUAGCUGGUCUGAGAGGACAACCGGCCACACUGGGACUGAGACACGGCCCAGACUCCUACGGGAGGCAGCAGUGGGGAAUUUUGGACAAUGGGCGCAAGCCUGAUCCAGCAAUGCCGCGUGCAGGAAGAAGGCCUUCGGGUUGUAAACUGCUUUUGUACGGAACGAAACGGCUCUGGUUAAUACCCGGGGCUAAUGACGGUACCGUAAGAAUAAGCACCGGCUAACUACGUG
rnacentral:rRNA from 1 species